rnacentral:rRNA from 1 species
AUCUGCGAAUGGCUCAUUAUAUCAGUUAUAGUUUAUUUGAUGGUCCUUACUACCGGAUAACCGUAGUAAUUCUAGAGCUAAUACGCGACUCAAACCCCGACUUACGAAGGGGUGUGUUUAUUAGAUUGAAACCAAUGCGGGGAAACCCGGAUUUUUGGUGAUUCAUAAUAACUUUCCGAUCGGCUUGCCGACGCAUCAUUCAAGUUUCUGCCCUAUCAGGUUUGGACGGUAGGGUAUUGGCCUACCGUGCCUUUAACGGGUAACGGAGAAUUAGGGUUCGAUUCCGGAGAGGGAGCCUGAGAAAUGGCUACCACAUCCAAGGAAGGCAGCAGGCGCGUAAAUCACCCAAUCCUGACACAGGGAGGUAGUGACAAUAAAUAACAAUGCCGGGCUUUUCAAAGUCUGGCAAUUGGAAUGAGAACAAUUUAAAUCCCUUAUCGAGGAUCAAUUGAGGGCAAGUGUGGU